rnacentral:miRNA from 1 species
GAAAAUCACCGUAAAAGUCACCCUAAAAAAUCUGAAAAUCUACCCAAAUUUUCAGAUUUUUGGGUGACUUUUACGGUAAUUUUC